UCGGCAGCACAAUGAAUAUGUCUCGAUGGCCACAGUCAGCAAGAUCAGAUCAGAUAAGCUUAGGAGUUUGGGGAAUAUGUGUGUGUGUGUGUGUGUGGUUUU